ACCUUCGUGGUGUAACGGUAGCACAUUCGGAGUGUAUUCGAGAGAUCCAGGGUUCGAGUCCCAGUGAGGGCA
rnacentral:tRNA from 1 species